rnacentral:misc_RNA from 1 species
UAAUAAGUGUUUUAUGGCACUUUUUAAAUCCAUAUCCACCUUGUGUGCAAUGUCGGGUCGAUUUCUUUUUCUUCAGAAGGAUCGACCAAACAUCAACCUUAUUCUAUUAACUUCUUUGUCUGAAAACUAUUAUGAUAUAAACUAAUUCAAAAUA